rnacentral:rRNA from 1 species
GAUGAACGCUGGCGGCGUGCCUAAUACAUGCAAGUCGAGCGAACAGACGAGGAGCUUGCUCCUCUGACGUUAGCGGCGGACGGGUGAGUAACACGUGGAUAACCUACCUAUAAGACUGGGAUAACUUCGGGAAACCGGAGCUAAUACCGGAUAAUAUAUUGAACCGCAUGGUUCAAUAGUGAAAGACGGUUUUGCUGUCACUUAUAGAUGGAUCCGCGCCGCAUUAGCUAGUUGGUAAGGUAACGGCUUACCAAGGCAACGAUGCGUAGCCGACCUGAGAGGGUGAUCGGCCACACUGGAACUGAGACACGGUCCAGACUCCUACGGGAGGCAGCAGUAGGGAAUCUUCCGCAAUGGGCGAAAGCUUUACGGAGCAACGCCGCGUGAGUGAUGAAGGUCUUCGGAUCGUAAAACUCUGUUAUUAGGGAAGAACAAAUGUGUAAGUAACUAUACACGUCUUGACGGUACCUAAUCAGAAAGCCACGGCUAACUACGUG